GCCGCGUGAGGGAUGACGGCCUUCGGGUUGUAAACCUCUUUUAGUAAGGAAGAAGAACUUCGGUUUGACGGUACUUGCAGAAAAAGCACCGGCUAACUACGUGCCAGCAGCCGCGGUAAUACGUAGGGUGCAAGCGUUGUCCGGAAUUAUUGGGCGUAAAGAGCUCGUAGGCGGUUUGUCGCGUCUGCUGUGAAAACUGGAGGCUCAACCUCCAGCCUGCAGUGGGUACGGGCAGACUAGAGUGCGGUAGGGGAGAUUGGAAUUCCUGGUGUAGCGGUGGAAUGCGCAGAUAUCAGGAGGAACACCGAUGGCGAAGGCAGAUCUCUGGGCCGUAACUGACGCUGAGGAGCGAAAGCAUGGGGAGCGAACAGGAUUAGAUACCCUGGUAGUCCAUGCCGUAAACGUUGGGAACUAGAUGUAGGGGCCAUUCCACGGUUUCUGUGUCGCAGCUAACGCAUUAAGUUCCCCGCCUGGGGAGUACGGCCGCAAGGCUAAAACUCAAAGGAAUUGACGGGGGCCCGCACAAGCGGCGGAGCAUGCGGAUUAAUUCGAUGCAACGCGAAGAACCUUACCAAGGCUUGACAUAUACCGGAAAGCCACAGAAAUGUGGGCCCCGCAAGGUCGGUAUACAGGUGGUGCAUGGUUGUCGUCAGCUCGUGUCGUGAGAUGUUGGGUUAAGUCCCGCAACGAGCGCAACCCUCGUUCUAUGUUGCCAGCACGUUAUGGUGGGAACUCAUAGGAGACUGCCGGGGUCAACUCGGAGGAAGGUGGGGGAUGACGUCAAAUCAUCAUGCCCCUUAUGUCUUGGGCUUCACGCAUGCUACAAUGGCCGGUACAAAGGGCUGCAAUACCGUAAGGGUGGAGCGAAUCCCAAAAAGCCGGUCUCAGUUCGGGAUUGAGGUCUGCAACUCGACCUCAUGAAGUCGGAGUCGCUAGUAAUCGCAGAUCAG
rnacentral:rRNA from 1 species